ACAAACUUGGUCAUUUAGAGGAAGUAAUAGUCGUAACAAGGUUUCCGUAGGUGAACCUGCGGAAGGAUCAUCUAUGAAUUUUGAUCUCCUCCAGAAGGCUUUGUCCCGCUUGGGGCCUGGACUUUCUUUGGGAAUUUGGCCACUCGUCUUUUGACAAGUGCAUUUUCCCGCAAAACCCCCCCAAAACAUAACAUAGAAAUAUGUUUGUUUUAAUAACACUUACACAACUUUUAACGAUGGAUCUCUUGGGUCCCGCAUCGAUGAAGAACGCAGC
rnacentral:misc_RNA from 1 species